AGUGAACGCUGGCGGUAGGCCUAACACAUGCAAUUCGAACGGCAGCACAGUAAGAGCUUGCUCUUACGGGUGGCGAGUGGCGGACGGGUGAGGAAUACAUCGGAAUCUACUUUUUCGUGGGGGAUAACGUAGGGAAACUUACGCUAAUACCGCAUACGACCUACGGGUGAAAGCAGGGGAUCUUCGGACCUUGCGCGAUUGAAUGAGCCGAUGUCGGAUUAGCUAGUUGGCGGGGUAAAGGCCCACCAAGGCGACGAUCCGUAGCUGGUCUGAGAGGAUGAUCCGCCACACUGGAACUGAGACACGGUCCAGACUCCUACGGGAGGACGCAGUGGGGAAUCUUGGACAAUGGGCGCAAGCCUGAUCCAGCCCUACCGCGUGGGUGCAGAAGGCCUUCGGGUUGUAAAGCCCUUUUGUUGGGAAAGAAAAGCAGCAGGUUAAUACCCCGCUGUUCUGACGGUACCCAAAGAAUAAGCACCGGCUAACUUCGUG
rnacentral:rRNA from 1 species